rnacentral:rRNA from 1 species
AUACGGAGGGUGCAAGCGUUAUUCGGAAUCACUGGGCGUAAAGGACGCGUAGGCGGGUUGGCAAGUCAGAUGUGAAAUCCUACAGCUUAACUGUAGAACUGCAUUUGAAACUGCUAACCUAGAGUAUGAGAGGGGGAGAUGGAAUUAGUGGUGUAGGGGUAAAAUCCGUAGAUAUCACUAGGAAUACCGAAAGCGAAGGCGAUCUCCUGGAACAUAACUGACGCUAAGGCGUGAAAGCGUGGGGAGCAAACAGAAUUAGAAACCCUAGUAGUCC